UGCAGAGAAGGUGGAAAAAUCUGGGCAUGGAGUGUUUACUACUGGAACAAAACACUCCAACAAGAAAUUUGCUUGUAUAGAAGCGAGGGGAACCCGGAGGUGCAGGCAUCUACUUAUUGCGCCGUAUGGAUGCAUUUUGAUAAUAACCACACGAGGGCAGAAAAGAACAGACAUCUGCGGACAGCCAGACGGCAGCCUGAUUUAAGAGAAGCGUCAAGUUCUGAUAUUUUUGUAAGGGAUUUGAAUGGAUAAAUAUAUUUAUCCAUUCAAACGCACACACAUCUGGAAUUGUUUAAAUAUAAAUAUAUCGAUAGAACACAUGUACACAGUGAAUAUAUAUUUAUAGUGUGCAUUUGUAAAUAUGUAUUUCUGGCAAGUAUGAGGAAAAUCGGUUUGGUUUUAAUUUUGGAUUGGCCUUAGUAAGGAUCUGAGAAUAACAGAGGCAUAAAAACAACUGAACCAUAUUUCCCUCUCAUUAACAUAAGCUGACAGUGCUUUCUUCAGUCUUUACCACUGUACAGGUAGGAGGCUGCGAUUAAGCAAGACAAGGAUCAAACUCUGAAAUGGGGAGACCCAUACAAUCAUAAGGGUUUCCAUGAUCAGGGACACCCCCAUUUUACGAGCUUCAGAUGUCCUGUACUGAGCAACUGGAAGAAGCGAGUUUUGGUCAUAUAAAGCACAAGUCAAAAAAAUGAACUUUGUUAUUACUAAUCUACACAGUUACACUGAAUAUAUGGUGCAUACCAGUGUUUAAAAUCUCCCAGCCUCACUAAAUCAAAGUGAUCUCAGAUAUGCAAUAUAUUUUUAUAGGCAGCCUUGUAAAAAUUAUUUGUCAUGCUUGUAUGUCUGGAAUGUGUCAACAACACUGCAGGCACUGAACCAGCUGAUAGUAAUUACUGGGGGGGGGGAGAAGAAAAGAAAAAGAAUUAGGAGCAAAAUUAACAACUGAAUUAUAUGAGGAAAAUUAAAAGAAGCUUAAUUGAGCAGAAGACUGAAAGCCACUUCCCCAGAAAUCCUAUCCCAGCUUGCCAUCUUAUUCCUUGUACAGUGCCAAAUAAACCUAACGUUUCUGUUUCUCGUUGUUUCGAGGAUUAAUUAGUGGCACAACAAUUGGGAAACAAAUAAAAUAACAGAAAAUGCCAAGCAUUGUUAUCGUGAGCUUGAAGGUCCCUGAUCUGAUGUGGGUGCACAAGUGAAUGGCCUCUGCAUUGCAAACUACGUAGAAGCAAUACUUUAAAGGUGGUUGAUUUCUGCUUACCAUUACAUACUUAAAAUGAGGAGAAAAUAAUUGUAAUUAAAGUUUAAAUUAUGUUAUGAUGAAAUUCAAGACACAACUUGUGCUGGUUAAGCACCUCCUACCUUCUAUUGCUCUGUGGGGCACACUUCAUAGCUCGUUACUGCAGGACAGCUGCAACACAAACAGCAAGAGCCCACCAGUGCUACAGAUGCUGCAGUACCUGUGAGUAACAACAGCUCUAUCACAACAAAUACUUAAUUACACAACUGAAGGAGAGAGAACAUGGUGCAAAUAUCAGCAACCUGAUGCUAAGCUGUGUUUUCUUUAGUGCUUAUUGCAAGCGAGAGUAACACAAUAUGUCGGUGCUCAUUGGGCUGAGGGUCUGAGCCUCCGGCCUGGAUGACACAUUGCAGUACAGCACCCAGUACCUCUCCUCAUCCCCUGGUUUAAGCAUGAUGGGGACCAACAUUUCACACAGUCUAAUAGUGACAGGAUACAUGAGAAUGGCUUUAAACUGAAAGAGGGGAAUCUUAAGUUACAUGUUCAGGAGUUUUUUACUCAGAGGGAGGUGAGGCCCUGGCAUAGGCUGUCCAGAGAAGCCACAGCUGCCCCAUCCCUGCAGGCAUUCAGAGGCCAGGCCAGAUGGAGUCCUGAGCAGCCUGGCCUGCUGGGGCAGCCCUGCCCACAGCAUGGAGUUGGGACUGGAUGGUCUUUAAGGUCCCUUCCAACCCAAGCCAUUGUGGGAUUCUGCAGGGAGAAAAGCAGCACUCCUGGCAUGCCCCAGUGACACCCAGAAUGGGGCACUGGGAUUGCAGGGGGUGCCCUCAGAUGUCUGCACACAGAACCUAGAUGUAGCCUGCACUACUCAAAGCAAUCCAGCAGUUUGCUUUUCCCUUUUUUUUUCUUUUUUCCUCCAUGGUUAGCUGCUCAGAAGAAAUACAGCUGAAGCAUGGUUUGUGCCAGCUUUGCUGGAGACAAGCAGCCCUGUGCAAGAGAAGCAUUUCUUUCUCACCCUCUUAUAUUCUGCACUCACUUAAGGAGCAAACAUACAUACAUCAGUAUUGGGAACUUGUGUCUCAAGUGUUGACUUCUUUCUGAGCUCCUGACCUCACCUGGAGAGGAGGGAGUUGAGGACCACAGCAGAACACUGAACCUGCCAGGACCCAAAUAGCCUUUAAGGGAAAGUAAGGGGAAACAACAAGAAGAGAUUUGAAGUGCCUGUGAUCAAUCACCACACAGCCACUGUCUAAGUUGAUCUCUCACAAACGCACUGAAGCUCUUAAUGACUGUAUUGAUAUAAACAUAGCUGCUUCAUUAUGAAAUAAUAAUAAUAAUAAAAAAUAAAUACUAAUUUUCAAAUUUUUUUUAAAAGAAUCUGGUUCUCUAAUCACCUGAGGGGAGAAAACUAC
ensembl:lncRNA